UUGCCAGACUCCUACGGGAGGCAGCAGUGGGGAAUAUUGCACAAUGGGGGAAACCCUGAUGCAGCGACGCCGCGUGAGCGAUGAAGUAUCUCGGUAUGUAAAGCUCUAUCAGCAGGGAAGAAAGUGACAGUACCUGACUAAGAAGCCCCGGCUAACUACGUGCCAGCAGCCGCGGUAAUACGUAGGGGGCAAGCGUUAUCCGGAUUUACUGGGUGUAAAGGGGGCGCAGACGGCGAUGCAAGCCAGGAGUGAAAGCCCGGGGCCCAACCCCGGGACUGCUCUUGGAACUGCGUGGCUGGAGUGCAGGAGGGGCAGGCGGAAUUCCUGGUGUAGCGGUGAAAUGCGUAGAUAUCAGGAGGAACACCGGUGGCGAAGGCGGCCUGCUGGACUGCAACUGACGUUGAGGCCCGAAAGCGUGGGGAGCAAACAGGAUUAGAUACCCCGGUA
rnacentral:rRNA from 1 species